GUUUUUGUGUUUGAGAAUUAUUCUCUCAGAUAUCUAAACAUUAUGUAUACUUCCUUGUGUUUUGUCAGGAUAGAGACUGUGCUUUGUCACCUGAUGAACUUAAGGAUUUAUUCAAAGUUUUCCCUUAUAUACCUUGGGGACCAGAUGUGAAUAACACAGUUUGUACAAAUGAAAAAGGCUGGAUAACCUAUCAGGGAUUCCUUUCCCAGUGGACGUGAGUAUAGAGCUCACUUCUUUCCUCUAGAACCACCACUAGUUUAAAAUUGUGGUAUAUUAUAUUCAUCAUUUUGUAAGCUUGUCAGAGCCUAUGAAAUUCUUCAAUCAUAACUGUUUCUUAAGCAGGAUUUGUAGUGCUGCUGGGAUUAUAAACACUUUUUAGAUUUAUCUGGAAGCGAUUAUUUUCUUUUGGAUGAUGUACUAGGAAACAGUAAUCUAAGUCUUACAUCAAAAAUGAACUUUAUUUUAAUACUUUUUUGUUUGAUUAAGAAAAUUGGGGCUGGGGUUGUGGCUCAGUGAUAGAGCACUUACCUGGCAUAUGUGAGGCACUGGUUUCGAUUCUCAGCACCG
rnacentral:lncRNA from 1 species